rnacentral:rRNA from 1 species
CAUCAGCGGCGAACGGGUGAGUACACUGUGGGUGACUUGCCCCGAAGAUGGGGAUAACUCUGGAAACGGGGGCUAAUACCCAAUGUGCUCGGUGAUUCGGUUCAUCGAGUAAAGCUCCGGCGCUUCGGGAGAGGGCUGCGGCCCAUCAGCUAGUUGGUAGGGUAACGGNCUACCAAGGCAGAGACGGGUAGGGGGCGUGAGAGCGCGGACCCCCACACUGGCACUGAGAUACGGGCCAGACUCCUACGGGAGGCAGCAGUAAGGGAUAUUGCGCAAUGGACGAAAGUCAGACGCAGCGACGCCGCGUGGGCGAUGAAGGCCUUCGGGUUGUAAAGCCCUUUUAUGGGGGAAGAGAAAAAGGACGGUACCCCAGGAAUAAGUCCCGGCUAACUACGUGCCAGCAGCCGCGGUAAAACGUAGGGGACAAGCGUUAUCCGGAUUCACUGGGCGUAAAGAGCGUUGAGGCGGUUCCGUAAGUUGGGCGUGAAAGCUCCGGGCUUAACUCGGAGAUGUCGUUCAAUACUGCGGGGCUUGAGGACAGCAGAAGAAGGUGGAAUUCCCGGUGUAGUGGUGAAAUGCGUAGAUAUCGGGAGGAACACCCGUGGCGAAGGCGGCCUUCUGGGCUGUUCCUGACGCUGAAGGCGAAAGCUAGGGGAGCGAACGGGAUUGGAUACCCCGGUAGUCCUAGCUGUAAACGAUGGAUGCUGGGUGUGGGGGGUGUAAAUUCCCUCUGUGCCGAAGCAAACGCGUUAAG